rnacentral:rRNA from 1 species
AAUCAACGCUGGCGGCGUGCCUCAGACAUGCAAGUCGAACGAUUAAAGCUCUCUUCGGAGAGUGUAUAGAGUGGCGCACGGGUGAGUAACACGUAAGUAAUCUACCCUCGAGUGGGGAAUAACGUCCGGAAACGGACGCUAAUACCGCAUAAUGCAGCGGCACCGCAAGGUGACAGUUGUUAAAGAUUUUAUCGCUUGAGGAGGAGCUUGCGGCAGAUUAGCAGUUGGUAAGGUAAUGGCUUACCAAGGCUACGAUCUGUAACCGGUCUAAGAGGACGGUCGGUCACACUGACACUGAAUAACGGGUCAGACUCCUACGGGAGGCAGCAGUCGGGAAUUUUGGGCAAUGGGCGAAAGCCUGACCCAGCAACGCCGCGUGAAGGAUGAAGUAUUUCGGUAUGUAAACUUCGAAAGAAUGGGAAGAAUCAAUGACGGUACCAUUUAUAAGGUCCGGCUAACUACGUGCCAGCAGCCGCGGUAAC